rnacentral:rRNA from 1 species
AUUGAACGCUGGCGGCAGGCCUAACACAUGCAAGUCGAGCGGAGCGUCGGACGGGUGCGUAAUGCCUAGGAAUCUGCCUGGUAGUGGGGGAUAACGUCAGGUAACGGGCGCUAAUACUGCAUACUAUACGAAGAGCCUAGGCCGGAUUAGCUAGUUGGUGGGGUAAAGGCCUACAAAGGCGCCGCUCCGUAACUGGUCUGAGAGGAUGACCAGUCACAAUGGAACUGAGACACGGUCCAGACGCCUACGGUAGGCAGCAGUGGGUAAUAUUGGACAAGUGGCGAAACCCUGAUCCAGCCAUGCCGCGUGUGUGAAGAAGGUCUUCGGAUUGUAAAGCACUUUAAGAUGGUAGGCGUUGCCAACAGAAUAAGCACCGGCUAACUUCGUGCCAGCAGCCGCGGUAAUAC